CGCUCGCCUGGGUGGGAGGCGUAGAGGGGUGUCGGGGCAGGGGGCACACCCAGGACCCCCGCGGCCUCCCACUGCCAAGAGGUUGGAGCAAGGCCAGGGCUCCAGCUCAGCUGGGCAUGGCCUGGACAAGCGGCCGCGAGGGCCCUUCACUCGGUCCCUGGGAGGCGGGGAGGGCUGCAGCACUGCUGAGAGCCUGGAGGCUGGGCCAGGGCACCAGGGUGAGGGGUGCAGAGGCGGGAGCCUGGCUCUGGGGCUUGGCCCCUCAUCUUCAGAGCCUGGGCCGAGGCCAGGCCCCUGGGCACCAGGCCCUGCAGGCUGGUCGCAAGGGUGGGGUGGGACAAGUGAGCUGCUUUCGGAGUGAUUCACCUUGCUGAACCGGGUACCUCGCUGCCCUGGGCCUCAAGGGUGGGAGGAGGCCAGGCCCUGGCAGCCCCUCACCGGGGUCGGCAGAUCGAGGCACGGAGGGCUGCCUGGCACAGCUGCUCUUCUGCUGCACUGACCCCAGCCUCCACCGGGCCUCGGCCACUGCUCCCUGCCAGCUACAUCCCCCCCGUCCCCCAGGGGCUUCUCCUUCAGGAGGGCUGGGCUGUGCCGGGGAGUCAAGGCUGGCAGUCAGGGUGAGGCCACCCCAAGCCCUUUGGGAAUAGUUCACCGGCGCUACCCCCCUCGCUGCCCCCACCUACGCGGCCUCCAGAGGACAGCCGGAGCCCAGCGCAGGGCAAGGGGUGCGUACCCUGCCGCGGAGACCCACCCUUCCGCCCUUCCCAGACCUCCCCGCAGCCCGGCCAGCCCGGCACCUUGACAAACAGCUGGAGCUUGGCGGUCUCAGCCAUGAAGAAAGAACCCUUGGGUUAGAAGCCACAAUCUUCUGAGCCACGGGGACCUCGCCCCCCACCCCACCUCCCCACGCUGGACUGGAGGGAGAAGGCCAGAGGAGGCUGGGUGAGUUGGCAGCCUCACAGGCCCCCAGCCCGACAGACCCUCUCCGGAAGCAACAGUGGUCCGGGCUCCUGGCAGAGGUCCCCUGAGCCUGGGGCUGGCCUCGACAUACUGUGGAGUUGGGGCCUGGGCCUCCGGACCACCUGCCACCACCACGGGGCUGCUCCUCAACAACUGGGGGGGUCACCCCGUUCGCUUCCUGCUUCCCUGCCACACAAACUGCCACCCUGGAGAAGGGCCAAGGCCCCUCCACACCGGUGCCUGUUCACCAGAUGUCCUGUGUGUAAAGGCACCCUUACACGUCCGUUAGAAAAAUGGUGACACGGACAAAUGAACAGGUGGUUCAGAAAAAAGGAAAUAAAACACCAACAGAAUAAAUGACAGUGUGUUUCAUUGUACACGUAUUCCAAGAACAAAUCAGAACAAGAUACAUACGGUUUGUGGUUACAACGGGCAGAAAUGUGGCCACCAUAUUCUUGGCAACGGUGUGGGGAAACGCACUCUGGGGGCGUCCCUGGUAAACAGCAACUGCCAUCGAAACGUCCCCAUAAGUACACGAGGGACAAACGGGUGUGCAGUGCCCCAGGGUGUGGCAGAGUCCCGGUGCAUCCACAGGAGAGGACGGAGGAGGCGGGUCUCUAGCCUGAGAUUUACUGGUGUUACGGGCUGAACUGUGUCCCCUCCAAAUUCAUAUGAAGUCCUCCUCCCCAAGCCCCCACCCCUCAGAAUGUGACCAUAUUUGGAGAUGGGGUCUUUACAGAAGUAAUCAA